rnacentral:rRNA from 1 species
UUAGGUCAGGAAUAACUCGAGGAAACUCGAGCUAAUACCCGAUAUGGCUUCGGCUGAAAGCCUUAUGCGCCUAGAGAUGAGUCUGCGGACCAUUAGCUUGUUGGUUGGGUAAAGGCCUACCAAGGCUACGAUGGUUAGCUGGUCUGAGAGGAUGAUCAGCCACACUGGGACUGAGACACCGCCCAGACUCCUACGGGAGGCAGCAGUGGGGAAUAUUGGACAAUGGGGGAAACCCUGAUCCAGCUACGCCGCGUGUGUGAUGAAGGCCUUAGGGUUGUAAAGCACUGUUGUAGGGGAAGAAUAAAAUGACGGUACCCUAUGUAGAAAGCACC